GCCGGGUGUGGUGGUGCACACCCGUAAUCCCAGUUACUUGGGAGGCUGAGGCAGGAGAAUUGCUUGAAUCUGGGAGGUGGAGGUUGCAGUGACUCAAGAUUGUGCCACUGCACUCCAGCCUGGGUGACAGAGUGAGACUCUGUCUCAA
rfam:Chlorocebus sabaeus isolate 1994-021 chromosome 8, whole genome shotgun sequence.